UUGAACGCUGGCGGCAUGCUUUACACAUGCAAGUCGAACGGUAGACCCUUUCGGGGGUUGAGAGUGGCGAACGGGUGAGUAAUGCAUCGGAACAUACCCAGUCGUGGGGGAUAACGUAGCGAAAGUUACGCUAAUACCGCAUGAGUCCUGAGGGAGAAAGCGGGGGAUCGCAAGACCUCGCGCGAUUGGAGUGGCCGAUGUCAGAUUAGCUAGUUGGUGGGGUAAAGGCCUACCAAGGCGACGAUCUGUAGCGGGUCUGAGAGGAUGAUCCGCCACACUGGGACUGAGACACGGCCCAGACUCCUACGGGAGGCAGCAGUGGGGAAUUUUGGACAAUGGGCGAAAGCCUGAUCCAGCCAUGCCGCGUGCGGGAAGAAGGCCUUCGGGUUGUAAAGCUCUUUCGGCAGGAACGAAACGGUAAGGGCUAAUAUCCUUUGCUAAUGACGGUACCUGAAGAAGAAGCACCGGCUAACUACGU
rnacentral:rRNA from 1 species